rnacentral:rRNA from 1 species
UAAUACAGAGGUGGCAAGCGUUGUUCGGAAUUACUGGGCGUAAAGGGCGAGUAGGUGGCCAUCUAAGUCAGACGUGAAAUCCCCCGGCUUAACCUGGGAACUGCGUCUGAUACUGGACGGCUUGAGUAUGGGAGAGGAACGUAGAAUUCCAGGUGUAGCGGUGAAAUGCGUAGAUAUCUGGAGGAAUACCGGUGGCGAAGGCGGCGUUCUGGACCAUUACUGACACUGAAUCGCGAAAGCUAGGGGAGCAAACG